UCGAUUAGAGUUUGAUCCUGGCUCAGGAUGAACGCUAGCGGGAGGCCUAACACAUGCAAGCCGAGCGGUAGAGAUUCUUCGGAAUCUUGAGAGCGGCGUACGGGUGCGGAACACGUGUGCAACCUGCCUUUAUCAGGGGGAUAGCCUUUCGAAAGGAAGAUUAAUACCCCAUAAUAUAUUAACUGGCAUCAGUGAAUAUUGAAAACUACGGUGGAUAGAGAUGGGCACGCGCAAGAUUAGCUAGUUGGUGAGGUAACGGCUCACCAAGGCGACGAUCUUUAGGGGGCCUGAGAGGGUGAUCCCCCACACUGGUACUGAGACACGGACCAGACUCCUACGGGAGGCAGCAGUGAGGAAUAUUGGACAAUGGGUGGAAGCCUGAUCCAGCCAUCCCGCGUGCAGGAAGACGGCCCUAUGGGUUGUAAACUGCUUUUAUCUGGGGAUAAACCUACUUACGUGUAAGUAGCUGAAGGUACCAGAAGAAUAAGCACCGGCUAACUCCGUGCCAGCAGCCGCGGUAAUACGGAGGGUGCAAGCGUUAUCCGGAUUUAUUGGGUUUAAAGGGUCCGUAGGCGGACUAGUAAGUCAGUGGUGAAAUCCGACAGCUUAACUGUCGAACUGCCAUUGAUACUGCUAGUCUUGAGUAAGGUUGAAGUGGCUGGAAUAAGUAGUGUAGCGGUGAAAUGCAUAGAUAUUACUUAGAACACCAAUUGCGAAGGCAGGUCACUAAGUCUUAACUGACGCUGAUGGACGAAAGCGUGNGGAGCGAACAGGAUUAGAUACCCUGGUAGCCCACGCCGUANACGAUGAUUA
rnacentral:rRNA from 1 species